UCACUAAUNNCCUUUCCGUAAGGGGACCUGCGGAAGGAUCAUUAGUGAAUAUAGGACGUCCAACUUAACUUGGAGUCCGACCUCUCACUUUCUAACCCUGUGCAUUUGUUUGGGAUAGUAACUCUCGCAAGAGGGCGAACUCCUAUUCACUUAUAAAACGCAAAGUCUAUGAAUGUAUUAAAUUUUAUAACAAAAUAAAACUUUCAACAACGGAUCUCUUGGCUCUCGCAUCGAUGAAGAACGCAGCGAAAUGCGAUAAGUAAUGUGAAUUGCAGAAUUCAGUGAAUCAUCGAAUCUUUGAACGCACCUUGCGCUCCAUGGUAUUCCGUGGAGCAUGCCUGUUUGAGUGUCAUGAAUACUUCAACCCUCCUCUUUCUUAAUGAUUGAAGAGGUGUUUGGUUUCUGAGCGCUGCUGGCCUUUACGGUCUAGCUCGUUCGUAAUGCAUUAGCAUCCGCAAUCGAACUUCGGAUUGACUUGGCGUAAUAGACUAUUCGCUGAGGAAUUCUAGUCUUUGGACUAGAGCCGGGUUGGGUUAAAGGAAGCUUCUAAUCAGAAUGUCUACAUUUUAAGAUUAGAUCUCAAAUCAGGUAGGACUACCCGCUGAACUUAAGCAUAUCAAUAAGGCGGAGGAA
rnacentral:rRNA from 1 species